CCGGGUGCGGCAACACCGUUCGUAGAGCCGAGGUACCUCCCUCUCAUGGGCCAAAUCCCUGCGGGGUUAGGGACCGGUUUCUUUCAUUACUGGGAUCCCACUGACGUGUGACAUGGUCUUAGUUGCAGGUGUACAACGUGACGACUGGACACGAGUGACGGGAUCGCUUGUCGGCCGCAGCAAAGCACAGCCUGUCCCUAGCGGUUGCCCAAAAUCCUGGUUACUGAAUUGGGCCGCGUCCUCCUGGCUGUCCAUCCACCACUGUGAUAUUCUCCUCCUGCUCUAUUUUUGGACCCUAGGCAUUUCCCUGUUUCUUGAAAGCUUCUCUAUGGGCUCAAGUUGCUUAAAAAAAAAAAAACAAAAACAAAACCCAGUAAGGCUUUUCAGUAUGGAGUCCAUAAUAGCGAUGGAAAAUUAUCUCCAAAGUGAGAUUUUAAAAAGCAGACUUUAAUGCCGUAGGUGUAAUAAAUACAUCGGCGGAGAGAAAAUUAUAAAAAUGUCCCUGAAGAAAGAACGUGAAAAGUUCCAUGGGAACAUGAAGAAACAAAGUUCCCAUAUCCAGGUACCUACUCUUAUAUCUUCCUCUAUUUGGGGGCAGGCGGUGAGGUCUAGAAAUCAAGGUGAGGGGCACCCAGAGGUCGGUUAAGCAUCUGACUCUUGAUUUCGGCUCGGGUCAUGAUCUCACGGUUCAUGAGUUCAAGCCCUGAGUCAGGCUCUGUGCUGACAGUGCGGAGCCUGCUUGGGAUUCUCUCUCUCUCUCUCUCUCUCUCUCUCCCUCCCUGCUCGUGCUUUCUCCCUCUCAAAAUAAAUAAACAUCUUUUCAAAAGAUGCGUUUUCACAGGUUUUUCACUGUUUUGUCCUGUGUCAUCGAAGGCCAAUCUGAAAAUACACGGGGUGUGGAUUUAGGAGCAGUAGACAGAAUUAUCGCCAGGGUCUGUGAAGCAGGACGUGAGGGCAGGUACGUGAAGGUGGCUCUCGG
rnacentral:lncRNA from 1 species